rnacentral:rRNA from 1 species
AUUGAACGCUGGCGGCAGGCCUAACACAUGCAAGUCGAGCGAGGGGCAGACGGGAGAGAUAUGUAUGGGGAUGUGCUAGAGAGAGGGGGAUAACAACUAGAAAUGGGGGCUAACACCGUAUAAUAUGAGAGGAACCCAUCUGGGAUUAGCUAGUAGGUGGGGUAAAGGCUCACCUAGGCGACGAUCCCUAGCUGGUCUGAGAGGAUGAUCAGCCACACUGGGACUGAGACACGGCCCAGACUCCUACGGGAGGCAGCAGUGGGGAAUAUUGGACAAUGGGCGCAAGCCUGAUGCAGCCAUGCCGCGUGUAUGAAGAAGGCCUUCGGGUUGUAAAGUACUUUCAGUCGGGAGGCGUUACCGACAGAAGAAGCACCGGCUAACUCCGUGCCAGCAGCCGCGGUAAUUC